rnacentral:rRNA from 1 species
AUUGAACGCUGGCUACAGGCUUAACACAUGCAAGUCGAGGGACCGGCGCACGGGUGAGUAACACGUAUCCAAACUGCCCUUUACUCGGGGAUAGCCUUUCGAAAGAAAGAUAAAUACCCGAUAUAAAGGAUGGGGAUGCGUUGCAUUAGGUUGUUGGUGAGGUAACGGCCCACCAAGCCUUCGAUGGAUAGGGGUUCUGAGAGGAAGGUACCCAACCUUGGAACCGAGGCACGGUCCAAACACCUACGGGAGGCAGAAGUGGGGAAUAGUGGUCAAUGGGCGUUAGCAUGAACCAGCCAAGUAGCGUGAAUGAUGAAGGCUUAUGGGUCGUAAACUUCUUUUAUAAAAGAAUAUGUAUUAUAUGAAUAUGGAACGGCUAACUCCGUGCCAGCAGCCGCGGUAAUUC